GCCAUCUUCAAGGCUCCGCCAACAGCUCCGUCCAAAGCAGGAAGCAGCACUGGCUCUUAGACGCCCCGAGCCGGGAUUUUAUGUGCGAGUCACUCGCGCGCACUCCGCGCAGCUACGGGUCGGGAGGAAGGCCAAAAAGUGUUGGGUGCAUGACGACGCGGGCUGUGUACUUCCUGGUUUUCUUUGCUGCGUGGCUCUCGGCUGCUUAUUAAUAGGCAAAAUUUCAAAGCCUGGCGUGAUAGCACGCAUCAUUAAUCUCGGGAGGCAGAGGCUGGAGGAUCUCUGUGAGUUUAGGGGAAGCCCGGUCUACACUAGGAGCUCCAUAACAGCCGGAGUAAGAAGGUCGGAGGAGGAUCUGGAGUCAGACCACGUUUCAAACAAACACCUUUAAACAAACAACACACAAGGAAACCAGGGUCCCUAUGUAUUCAAGGCUGUCUUGGAACUUGGAAGACC
rnacentral:sRNA from 1 species